GACGAACGCUGGCGGCGUGCUUAACACAUGCAAGUCGAACGGAAGAGCCCUGCCUUUCUGGGGUGCUCGAGUGGCGAACGGGUGAGUAAUACAUGAGUAACCUACCCUCGAAUUUGGGGUAACUUCCGGGAAAUGGGGCUAAUACCCGAUAGGAGAUCCGGAUGCAUGGUGGUGAUUGUAAAAGUUCGGCGGUUGGGGAUGGAGUCGCGGGUGAUCAGUUGGUUGUUGGAGUAGUGGCGUACCAAGGAUCUGACGGGUCGUCGGCCUGAGAGGGUGACCGGCCACAUGGGGACUGAGAUACGGGCCAGAGCCGUAGGGGAGGCAGCAGUGUGGAAUAUAGCAUAAUGGGCCGACGCCUGAUGCAUCAAGGCCGCGUUCGGGAUGAAGGCCUUUGGGGUGUAGGCCGCUUUGUCCUUAGACGAAGCCUAAGUGACGGUAAUUGAUAAGGAAGCAACGGCUAACUACGUG
rnacentral:rRNA from 1 species